CCGUGGGGAAAAGCCCCGGGGGGCUAGGCCUCCCCUCCACCGCAAACGGUCUUAUGGCGGGGGGCGUUAACCCCAGGGAAGGCCCUUACCACCUAGGGGUGAUCCGGGGCCUCUGUAUCAAUGACCUCCAGUCCCGUGGGGUUGCCAUGGGGUGAUAGGCCUUUCGUAGGAAAGGCCGAAUCACCUAACAGUCCGAACCGGUUUAGGCCCGGGAGGGAGCGGACCUAAGGACUGGUGGCAACGUUCACGGGGAAGCUGGAGCGAGAUGCAUGCUCCGGUAACCCUUAGGUGAGGGGUCGACCCUGAGGGGAGGCCCACGG
rnacentral:SRP_RNA from 1 species